CCUACGGGAGGCUGCAGUGAGGAAUAUUGGUCAAUGGACGAGAGUCUGAACCAGCCAAGUAGCGUGAAGGAUGACUGCCCUAUGGGUUGUAAACUUCUUUUAUAUGGGAAUAAAAUGUUCCACGUGUGGGCUUUUGUAUGUACCAUAUGAAUAAGGAUCGGCUAACUCCGUGCCAGCAGCCGCGGUAAUACGGAGGAUCCGAGCGUUAUCCGGAUUUAAUGGGUUUAAAGGGGGCGUAGGUGGCUUGUUAAGUCAGUUGUUAAAGUUUGCGGCUCAACCGUAAAAUUGCAGUUGAAACUGGCAGGCUUGAGUACAGUAGAGGUGGGCGGAAUGCGUGGUGUAGCGGUGAAAUGCUUAGAUAUCACGAAGAACUCCGAUUGCGAAGGCAGCUUACUGGACUGCAACUGACACUGAGGCUCGAAAGUGUGGGUAUCAAACAGGAUUAGAUACCCGAGUAGUC
rnacentral:rRNA from 1 species